CUCAAAGUUCACCUGCUGCUGAGUUCCUCCUUUUGCCCGCUCCCUGCAGACCUGCCCUUUGUACUUUAGCAUGCUUACUGUCUUUCUCAGCCCGGCACUCAUCACCUCCCAUCUAAUCACACCAUUCUGCAACAGGCAAGCAACAGAGAGAGGCAGGGAGAGACUGAGACCCUCCUUUUCCACCUUGGAGUAGGAAGCAGACAUAUCUAACAGCAGGAGAUACAGGAAGGGAAGCAACAAAGGAGGUCCCUGGCCGGUGGCGACGGGGAGAGCAGCGACAGCCAGGGAAUGGUAAGUUGUCAUCAGCCUGGAGGAGUCUGAGACAAAACAAGGGACAAGAAAGAAGGGGACAAUCUCUUCAACAGGGUCUGUUGGGAUGGGAUGGGGGAUAUGGAUUUCAGAAUAAAAGAGGGGAGGUUUGGACUGGAUAUUAAGAAGGAAAUUUCAUGCUACGAGCAGCGAGGCAGUGGCACAG
ensembl:lncRNA